rnacentral:rRNA from 1 species
UACGUAGGGGGCAAGCGUUGUCCGGAUUUAUUGGGCGUAAAGAGCGUGUAGGCGGCCACACAGGUCAGCUGUGAAAACUCGAGGCUCAACCUCGAGACGUCGGUUGAAACCGUAUGGCUAGAGUCCGGAAGAGGAGAGUGGAAUUCCCGGUGUAGCGGUGAAAUGCGCAGAUAUCGGGAAGAACACCCGUGGCGAAGGCGGCUCUCUGGGACGGUACUGACGCUGAGACGCGAAAGUGUGGGGAGCGAACAGG